GCCGAUGACCAAAUCGCCCCGGACUGUGGAAAAUAUCACCGCACCUCAUAAUCUAAGCGGCGUUCAGCCUGGUGAGUACUUAGAUGGGGAGACUGCCUGGGAAUACCAGGUGUUGUCGGCA
rnacentral:rRNA from 1 species